rnacentral:lncRNA from 1 species
AUACACGAUGAAGGCAGCGUGACUACGUACCAAUGCUACCGAAACGGGACGACCCUCGAGCCACCUACAUCGCGCAAUUUCACAGUCCUGUGGAGAAGCGCGGACCAGCCCGAAAACGAAGCGCAAUGCGUGUGCACAUUCGUGCUUGACGGAGGCAGCGAGGAGCAAAGAAUCGAAGUCUCUGCCGAGUACAAUGAACAAGAGGACUACGGCAUUCUGUCAGGUCAUGGUGCAUCAGCGUACCUUUACCAACUACAGCCUCCGUUCCAAGGCGAAGCCUACUAUUUCAAGGAAGUGGCCGCUUCGACUGGCCAUACUGUCUUCAAGAUUUACGACACUGACGAGACCUGCACGAACGCCAAAGCCCUUCACGACCAGGUUUGCCCUGAACCAUGCGACCUGGAAUUCGUGCGGUGAAGAUUCUAC